rnacentral:rRNA from 1 species
AUUCCAGCUCCAAUAGCGUAUAUUAAAGUUGUUGCAGUUAAAAAGCUCGUAGUUGGAUUUCUGGCAGGAGUGACCGGUCACGCACUCUGUGCGUGAACUUGUGUUGUCUCUGGCCAUCCUUGGGGAGAUCCUGUUUGGCAUUAAGUUGUCGGGCAGGGGAUACCCAUCGUUUACUGUGAAAAAAUUAGAGUGUUUAAAGCAGGCUUAUGCCGUUGAAUAUAUUAGCAUGGAAUAAUAAGAUAGGACUUCGGAACUAUUUUGUUGGUUUGCGUUACGAAGUAAUGAUUAAUAGGGACAGUUGGGGGUAUUCGUAUUUCGUUGUCAGAGGUGAAAUUCUUGGAUUUCCGAAAGACGAACUACUGCGAAAGCAUUUACCAAGGAUGUUUUCAUUA